rnacentral:tRNA from 1 species
GAGGAUGUAGCUCAGUGGUAGAGUGCUUGCUUAGCAUGCAUGAGGUCUUGGGUUCAAUCCCCAGAACUUCU